rnacentral:miRNA from 1 species
CGGUCCAGACGUGGCGGCAGUGGCAGUGGCAUCCCGGACGGCCUGUGAGGGAUGCGCCGCCCACUGCCCCGCGCCGCCUGACCG